AUUGAACGCUGGCGGCAGGCUUAACACAUGCAAGUCGAGCGGAGAUGAGGUGCUUGCACCUUAUCUUAGCGGCGGACGGGUGAGUAAUGCUUAGGAAUCUGCCUAUUAGUGGGGGACAACAUUCCGAAAGGAAUGCUAGUACCGCAUACGUCCUACGGGAGAAAGCAGGGGAUCUUCGGACCUUGCGCUAAUAGAUGAGCCUAAGUCGGAUUAGCUAGUUGGUGGGGUAAAGGCCUACCAAGGCGACGAUCUGUAGCGGGUCUGAGAGGAUGAUCCGCCUCACUGGGACUGAGACACGGCCCAGACUCCUACGGGAGGCAGCAGUGGGGAAUAUUGGACAAUGGGGGGAACCCUGAUCCAGCCAUGCCGCGUGUGUGAAGAAGGCCUUAUGGUUGUAAAGCACUUUAAGCGAGGAGGAGGCUACUGAGACUAAUACUCUUGGAUAGUGGACGUUACUCGCAGAAUAAGCACCGGCUAACUCUGUGCCAGCCGCCGCAGUAA
rnacentral:rRNA from 1 species